rnacentral:lncRNA from 1 species
GGGGAAACAAGUCCUGAAGAGGAAUAAAAACAGCUGGUUCUUUCAACCAUCAAAGGCAGAACUGGACGCUAUAUGGAAGAGGCUCCAAGGUGUCAACGUGCUUCCCGGCCAAGAGACCGCCUCUGGUGUGUGGUUGCUGGAGAUUGUAAGACAUCAGUCAGGUAGGGCAGCCUCGGGGGCCCUGCUGGGGCACAGCACGCGGUUCUUAAGCGCUCCCCAGACAGAGAAGGAAAUGGCGGAGAAAGAAGAGGAGACAGAGAAGCAGAAUCGUGCCAAAGAGAUGGAUUUGGUGGUCCAUUAUUUCGGUAAUGCUCAUUGAGGGCCCACAGUUCUUCUGGAGCGAGUUCCAAGCCCACCUCCUUUACGAAGUCUUCUCCCACUGCCUCUGCCCCCUGGAGCUCGCUCGCUCCCCUUCCUAGGAAUUCAGCCUCACUGCCUGCCCAGCGCCUUCGUUCCAGGCGCACCCAGCCUGCUGUCUGUUAGGAGCUUUGCGUGUGUGAGAACCCCAAACAGCCUGACGCAGCCUGGAGUCUCACUGCACAUAUACCGUGAGUGUGAAAGGUUUUCAUCCACACUCACGUGUGUGUCAGUGUGUGAUACCUGUGUGUAACAGAAUGCCCUGGAUGCUGACAGCUGGACGGAUGCAGGCCCACUCGACAUGACUGUACAGUGCAUCUAGUGGAGAGGACAAUCAGGGGCUAAAAUCCAGCCCGUAAUUUUCUGCCCAGCCACACGCCCUGGGAUGGCGUGCAUCUUCCCAGAAGCACUUUUUUCUAUUCUUCUCACCACACCAUGCACCCUGGCCAGGGCCAGUCCUACCCAGAACAGGUGCUUUUUUCUAAUUUUCACAAAGGCUGCAAGUAAACAGAAGCAAGGCACCCUGGUUACGACACACCUGUCUCUCAGCUCCAGAUCCACCCUCUUAUUCCGGACAUCACGAUGCAGCGGAAGGAACUCUGCAAACCACGUUCCCCCUUCGCCGCUGGGCUCCCUCUCAUUGUCGGGGGGAGGACAAUGGGAGGUGGGAGGACUGGGGACUCGAUCAAUCACAUUUGCUUCCUAUUCCCAGCAGCAUCACCCCCAGCAUCCAUUUUCACCGGCAGCCACAGCUGAUUCACUUCACCCCCUGUGUGUCACACUCUGGGAACCAGCCACAGCAUGUCCCCCUCAGAGACAUCAGCACCAGUCAGCCAGCGAGCCUCCUCCGAGCUUGAAGUCUCAGCUCCGCAGAGUUUCUUCUCCAGGCCCCUGGGUUCUAACAACCCCAAUCUCUUUCUUUGUUCCCUCCCCAAGGGCGGUAGCUGCUUUUAUGUAGUUACUAUCUCUGUGUGUCCUCAAUGACUCCUUUCUGCCUUCCCAGCCCUCCAACCCUUUUGAAUCAAUUCUCUAUAUUAAAAUCUCUCUGUAAAAAUAACUGUGGGAGCUGUUUUCUGACUGACUGCCAUGGAUGGCAUAGGGAAAAGUAACCCCCAUCCCCUGUGAGCC